GGUCAAGCGAAUAAGCGCACACGGUGGAUGCCUUGGCGGUCAGAGGCGAUGAAGGACGUGGCAGCCUGCGAAAAGUAUCGGGGAGCUGGCAACAAGCUUUGAUCCGGUAAUGUCCGAAUGGGGAAACCACCCGCUUGCGGGUAUCCUGCAGUGAAUACAUAGCUGCUGGAAGCGAACCUGGUGAACUGAAAUAUCUAAGUAACCAGAGGAAAAGAAAUCAACCGAGAUUCCGUAAGUAGCGACGAGCGAACGCGGACUAGCCCUUAAGCUGAUUUGGUUCUAGGAAAACGCUCUGGAAAGAGCGGCCAUAGAAGGUGAUAGCCCUGUAUCUGAAAGGGCCAUUUCAGUGAAGACGAGUAGGGCGGGGCACGUGAAACCCUGUCUGAACAUGGGGGGACCAUCCUCCAAGGCUAAAUACUACUGACCGACCGAUAGUGAACCAGUACCGUGAGGGAAAGGCGAAAAGAACCCCGGAGAGGGGAGUGAAAUAGAACCUGAAACCGUGUGCGUACAAGCAGUAGGAGCUCCGCAAGGAGUGACUGCGUACCUUUUGUAUAAUGGGUCAGCGACUUACUGUUCGUGGCAAGCUUAACCGUAUAGGGGAGGCGAAGGGAAACCGAGUCUGAUAAGGGCGCAUAGUCGCGGGCAGUAGACCCGAAACCGGGUGAUCUAGUCAUGCCCAGGGUGAAGGUGCGGUAACACGCACUGGAGGCCCGAACCCACUCCCGUUGCAAAGGUAGGGGAUGAGGUGUGAUUAGGAGUGAAAAGCUAAUCGAACCCGGAGAUAGCUGGUUCUCCUCGAAAGCUAUUUAGGUAGCGCCUCAUAUGUAUCCUCUCGGGGGUAGAGCACUGUUAUGGCUAGGGGGUCAUCGCGACUUACCAAACCAUUGCAAACUCCGAAUACCGAGACGGACUGUAUGGGAGACACACGGCGGGUGCUAACGUCCGUCGUGAAAAGGGAAACAACCCAGACCCACAGCUAAGGUCCCAAAUUUUGUGCUAAGUGGAAAACCAUGUGGAAAGGCACAGACAGCCAGGAGGUUGGCUUAGAAGCAGCCACCCUUUAAAGAAAGCGUAAUAGCUCACUGGUCGAGUCGGUCUGCGGGGAAGAUUUAACGGGGCUAAGCACAGAACCGAAGCUUGGGGUGCAUAACUUUGUUAUGCGCGGUAGAGGAGCGUUCCGUAAGCCGUUGAAGGUGGAUUGAGAAGUCUGCUGGAGGUAUCGGAAGUGCGAAUGCUGACAUGAGUAACGAUAAUGCGGGUGAAAAACCCGCACGCCGAAAGCCCAAGGUUUCCUUGCGCAACGUUAAUCGGCGCAGGGUGAGUCGGCCCCUAAGGCGAGGACGAAAGUCGUAGUCGAUGGGAAGCAGGUUAAUAUUCCUGCACCUCGCGUAAGUGCGAUGGAGGGACGGAGAAGGUUAGGUGUACCAGGCGUUGGUUGUCCUGGGGAAAGGCGGUAGGUUUGGAUCUUUGGCAAAUCCGGGAUCCUUUAAGACCGAGCACCGAGACGAGCCUUUAUGGCGAAGUCACUGAUACCACGCUUCCAGGAAAAGCUCCUAAGCUUCAGCUUACGCAGACCGUACCGUAAACCGACACAGGUGGGUAGGAUGAGAAUUCUCAGGCGCUUGAGAGAACUCGGGUGAAGGAACUAGGCAACAUGGCACCGUAACUUCGGGAGAAGGUGCACCCUUUUUGGUGGCUCGUGCGAGCUAUAGCUGAAAGGGUCGCAGUAACCAGGCCGCUGCGACUGUUUAUCAAAAACACAGCACUCUGCAAACACGAAAGUGGACGUAUAGGGUGUGACGCCUGCCCGGUGCUGGAAGGUUAAUUGAUGGGGUCAGCCGCAAGGCGAAGCUCUUGAUCGAAGCCCCAGUAAACGGCGGCCGUAACUAUAACGGUCCUAAGGUAGCGAAAUUCCUUGUCGGGUAAGUUCCGACCUGCACGAAUGGCGUAACGACAGCGGCGCUGUCUCCACCCGAGACUCAGUGAAAUUGAAAUCGCUGUGAAGAUGCAGCGUUCCCGUGGCAAGACGGAAAGACCCCGUGAACCUUUACUAUAGCUUUACACUGAACGUUGAGUUCGUCUGUGUAGGAUAGGUGGGAGGCUAUGAAACUGUGGCGCUAGCUGCAGUGGAGCCAUCCUUGAAAUACCACCCUGUCGUGCUUGACGUUCUAACCUGGGCCCAUUAUCUGGGUCGGGGACCGUGUAUGGUGGGUAGUUUGACUGGGGCGGUCUCCUCCUAAAGAGUAACGGAGGAGCUCGAAGGUACGCUCAGCGCGGUCGGACAUCGCGCACUGUGUGCAAAGGCAUAAGCGUGCUUGACUGCAAGAUCGACGGAUCAAGCAGGUAGGAAACUAGGACUUAGUGAUCCGGUGGUUCUGUAUGGAAGGGCCAUCGCUCAACGGAUAAAAGGUACUCCGGGGAUAACAGGCUGAUACCGCCCAAGAGUUCAUAUCGACGGCGGUGUUUGGCACCUCGAUGUCGGCUCAUCACAUCCUGGGGCUGUAGUCGGUCCCAAGGGUAUGGCUGUUCGCCAUUUAAAGUGGUACGCGAGCUGGGUUCAGAACGUCGUGAGACAGUUCGGUCCCUAUCUGCCAUGGGCGUUGGAGAUUUGAGAGGGGCUGCUCCUAGUACGAGAGGACCGGAGUGGACGAACCUCUGGUGUUCCGGUUGUCACGCCAGUGGCAUUGCCGGGUAGAUGUUCGGAAGCGAUAACCGCUGAAAGCAUCUAAGCGGGAAGCGCGCCUCAAGAUGAGAUCUCCCGGGGCACAAGCCCCCUGAAGGAACCAUGUAGACUACGUGGUUGAUAGGUCAGGUGUGUAAGUACAGCAAUGUAUUGAGCUAACUGAUACUAAUGAUCCGUGCGGCUUGACCAU
rnacentral:rRNA from 1 species